GCGUGACACAAAUUUGGCCCCGAGGGAGCUCCAUGUGCCUGAGUCCCAGGAGCCCUAGAUGCCAGCGACAGCUUGUCACCAGGCCUGCGACGCCAAUGGGCGGGAGUCGGCGGAGCUCAGGACACUGACGACGGGCCUGGGGGAAAGCGGUCCCCACACAGCCCGGGGCCAGAGGAGCGGGCUGCCAGGGUCAGACGGAGGAAGACCGCGGGAAACAGACUGGACGUGCAGGGAAAGGUCCAGUCCCACCCGCGGGUGCAGGGAACAGCCUGUGGGGAGGGGACCCAGGGCCGCGUGGGAAGAGUCAGGGAGCUUAGGUGGACCGCCCGGCAGGAAGAGAGGGGAAGGCUGAGCAGUGAAGGGGUCCCCAAGUCAGCCAAGGCAGAGUUCCCAGGCCCUGGGAUCCGCCACCCACAAGCACACUUGGAGGCAGCAUCCUUGCAGGACUCGCGCCGGAGCCUGAGCCCUCCAGCCAGCCCAGCGCGCCACCGCCCUUCUGUCCCCAGCCACCCACGAGAGAAUCUGGGUCGCCAGGGCCUUGUCCUUCACCAAGGCAAAGCCGGCUCAGCCUCAGAGCCACAGGCGAGAGCGCCUGUCUGCAUGAGUGUCAUGAGGACUGGACAUGGGUCUAUCAGGACCAUCGGCAUGAUGUCAGCCAAGGAUCUCGUGGCCUGCCUCUGCCAAGGGGGGACCAGCACCUUGUCCUGAGCACUUCCAGCCUCCCAUUGCCUUCAACCUGGCUGCAUUCAGCUGCCAUGCCCCUACCUCCUGAUGUGGCCAGCACCCUCCAGGACUUCAUCUAGGUGCACCCAAAGGCCGAGGACGUUGCUGGCCAGCAGGAAAUUCCUGGUGCAUCCAGGAAGACUUCCAAGAGGUGGUGGAACAGGGGGCGCCACACCCAGACAGCUGUGUGUAACUGUGCAGCUUCGGGCUGCUGCAGGUGCUGGCCGGACUGUGUUCUGGGCACACUGGACUGUGUCACUGCAUGGAGGCUGUUGCCGGAGGAGGAAGUGCAGGCCCCAAGGCCUAUGUGCCUGGAAACCAGCUGGGGCUGCUGCAGGAGGAGGGCUGCAGGAUGCUCCAGCUCAGACCUGACUCAGGGUUUUAGAGGGCACAGGGCAUAAAGCUGUGGACAUAGACAGCCCUACUGCGCAGGAAGAGCAUAAACCAGCCAGAGGGCAUGCAUGGGGGCUGCUGUUGCAUUCUGGUCUCCUUUGAGGUAGGGAAAGAUGUGUUUCUUUCUAUUUUAUGGGUGAGCAAACUGAGGCAGAGUGGUGGAGUGAUUUCCCCCAGCAUCGAUGGCAGAUUUAGCUCCAGGGCUUAGAUUUUAGGAUCCUCCCUCUCAAAUACCAUGAUGUAUCAUGGGCUUUUUCUCCACAGAAAAUUAGAAACUCAGAAAUGGAAAGGAACAAUGAAACUUACCCAUUCUCCCACUGCUCACAUUUCCUUCUGGUCUUUUUGUGUGUGCAUAUAAAAUAUAUCUCAGAAAAUUGA